AGAACGAACGCUGGCGGCAGGCUUAACACAUGCAAGUCGAGCGCCUCGCAAGAGGAGCGGCAGACGGGUGAGUAACACGUGGGAACAUACCCUCCGGUUCGGAAUAACUCAGGGAAACUUGAGCUAAUACCGGAUACGGUCGAGAGGCGAAAGAUUUAUCGCCGGAGGAUUGGCCCGCGUCCGAUUAGCUAGUUGGUGUGGUAAUGGCGCACCAAGGCGACGAUCGGUAGCUGGUCUGAGAGGAUGAUCAGCCACAUUGGGACUGAGACACGGCCCAAACUCCUACGGGAGGCAGCAGUGGGGAAUAUUGGACAAUGGGCGCAAGCCUGAUCCAGCCAUGCCGCGUGAGUGAUGAAGGCCUUAGGGUUGUAAAGCUCUUUCGCUAGGGACGAUAAUGACGGUACCUAGACAAGAAGCCCCGGCUAACUUCGUGCCAGCAGCCGC
rnacentral:rRNA from 1 species